UCCUAUUGACAUGACCCCUUAAUGUUACACUAAGUCAUGUAACUAUUUGUCCAAUGGGGUGUUAGGAGAUGUGAAAGAGGAGAGGACUGGAGUAGGCUUCCACACUGGAGUUUGUUUUCUUUUGCACCGUUGCCAGCACCCUGAGAACACUCUUGAACCAGACUGUGGAAGGAUGAGAUGCACAUAAUCAGAGACAAAAAGAAAAAGGAAGAAGAAGAGGAAGAGAAGAAGAAGAAGGAGAAGGAGAAGGAGAAGGAGGAAGAGAAAGAGGAGAAGGAGGAGGAGGAGGAGAAGAAAAGAGGAAGAAGAAGAAGAAAAAGAAGAAGAAGAAGAAGAAGAAGAAGAAGAAGAAGAAGAAGAAGAAGAAGAAGAAGAAGAAGAAAAAAAAGAAGAAGAAACCUAAAAAUUUCAAAGCACAUCAAUCAAGGGGAAACAAUGGCUCUUAAACACCAUUUGUGUCACCUCUUUUCAUCAAAGUCUUCGUUGGUGUAUCAAUAAUCCGCUUCAGGGUGCUUCUGCACCAUCAUGCAGAGAGGCCUCGUUCCUUGGAAGUGAGAUGGAGAACCUUGUGUUUUUGGGUGAAGGAGCCAGAAAGGAGUGAAAAUACUUGAAUUUUGAAAAGCUUAACAAAGGUUGAGUAAGACGGAAUUAUUGGUAUUUCCUUUAUCUCUCACAUGCAGAGGGAAAAAAAACUACUGGAUUUCUUACUUAAAUAACGAUGGAGUAAACUUGAAGAUGCUUCCUGAUUUUGAUUCUGUAUUUGAACAUGUCAUUUAAUUAACUAUUAGGUUUAAAUAUAGAAACUGGUUUUGUACUGAGAGGAUGGACACAAAUGGAGUGUGUGUUCUAGACUAUUAUCACCAGUGGAUGGCGAUGUACUGUUGUAACAGUAGCAGAGACCUGUGAUCAAAGGAGAUAUUUAUGAGACCUACUCAGUGUUGCAGAAAAUUACAAUUACAGAUAAGG